GUGUUGUUGGCCUAAUUUAUGGGGCGUCGGUUUCCGGGACCGAAGAUUGAGGGUUCCAGUCCCUUCCGAGAUG
rnacentral:tRNA from 1 species